rnacentral:rRNA from 1 species
GACCGGUAGCCGGACUGAGAGGUUGAACGGCCACAUUGGGACUGAGACACGGCCCAGACUCCUACGGGAGGCAGCAGUGGGGAAUAUUGCACAAUGGGGGAAACCCUGAUGCAGCGACGCCGCGUGGAGGAAGAAGGUCGUUGGAUUGUAAACUCCUGUUGUUGAGGAAGAUAAUGACGGUACUCAACAAGGAAGUGACGGCUAACUACGUGCCAGCAGCCGCGGUAAAACGUAGGUCACAAGCGUUGUCCGGAAUUACUGGGUGUAAAGGGAGCGCAGGCGGGAAGACAAGUUGGAAGUGAAAUCUAUGGGCUCAACCCAUAAACUGCUUUCAAAACUGUUUUUCUUGAGUAGUGCAGAGGUAGGCGGAAUUCCCGGUGUAGCGGUGGAAUGCGUAGAUAUCGGGAGGAACACCAGUGGCGAAGGCGGCCUACUGGGCACCAACUGACGCUGAGGCUCGAAAGUGUGGGUAGCAAACAGGAUUAGAUACCCUGGUAGUCCACACCGUAAACGAUGAUUACUAGGUGUUGGAGGAUUGACCCCUUCAGUGCCGCAGUUAACACAAUAAGUAAUCCACCUGGGGAGUA